UUUUAGUUGUUAUGAAUCCCAUUUUCAAUCAUGUGGGUUUUCUAGGUGAAGUUAAUGAGACAAUUAAUCCUUUGGCAAUUUAGAAUCUGUUGGUGGGCUACUAUCUUCGCUAAGGUAAAUGGUUAUUCGCAGUGUAGGGGAUGAUUUUUUUCUGUAGUAAGUGUGAUUUUUGAUGAUUUUGUUGUAUGAGUGAAUCCAGUUUGGUAAAAAUUGUGCUAAUUAAUUUGUAUCUAAUUAUAGUUUAGGAGUCUAGAAGUGUGUUGUAGUGUCACGUAUCAGAAACAACUAGGUGUGUAAC
rnacentral:lncRNA from 1 species